rnacentral:rRNA from 1 species
CGCAUCUGUGCAUGCAGCAUAUCAAUAAGCGGAGGAAAAGAAACUAACAAGGAUUCCCUUAGUAACGGCGAGUGAAGCGGGAAGAGCUCAAAUUUGAAAUUUCAAGGUUUUACCUUGACGAAUUGUAGUUUAAAGAAGUGUUUUCUGCUGAAGUUUUGGUAAAAGUUCUUUGGAAUAGGACAUCAUAGAGGGUGAGAAUCCCGUAUUUGACCAUUAUUUUCAGCUUUGUGAUACACUUUCAAAGAGUCGGAUUGUUUGGGAAUGCAGUCCAAAAUGGGUGGUAAAUUUCAUCUAAAGCUAAAUAUUGGCGAGAGACCGAUAGCGAACAAGUACCGUGAGGGAAAGAUGAAAGGAACUUUGAAAAGAGAGUUAAACAGUACGUGAAAUUGUCAAAAGGGAAGCGUUUGACACCAGUGUUGUUUUCUCGAAAAUCAAUUAAAAAUGGCUCGAUUUUGUAUUGCUUGAGACCUUAAAAGCUCACUGUACAUUUUUCGUGUCUUUUUUAAUGCACUUUUCGUUUAACAAGUCAACAUCAGUUUCUUUUGUUGUAAAAGGGUCAUUGGAAGGUGGCUUUCUUUUCGGAGAAAGUGUUUAUAGCCUUUGGCCUCUGCAAUCGAAGAGACUGAGGUCUGCAGCGUAGACUCUUCGGGGUUAGAUACAUUUGUGCUAAGUUAUAGCUUUUUAUAGACAACUUGUUGACUAUAAUUAGUCUUGUAGCUUACUCGCUUAUGCUAUUUUACCUACGCUUAGGAUGUUGACGCAUGAGAUAUACGC